rnacentral:rRNA from 1 species
GACGAACGCUGGCGGCGUGCUUAACACAUGCAAGUCGAACGGAAAGGCCCUGCUUUUGUGGGGUGCUCGAGUGGCGAACGGGUGAGUAACACGUGAGUAACCUGCCCUUGACUUUGGGAUAACUUCAGGAAACUGGUGCUAAUACCGGAUAGGAGCUCCUGCUGCAUGGUGGGGGUUGGAAAGUUUCGGCGGUUGGGGAUGGACUCGCGGCUUAUCAGCUUGUUGGUGGGGUAGUGGCUUACCAAGGCUUUGACGGGUAGCCGGCCUGAGAGGGUGACCGGCCACAUUGGGACUGAGGUACGGACCAGACUCCUACGGGAGGCAGCAGUGGAGAAUAUUGCACAAUGGGCGGAAGCCUGAUGCAGCAACGCCGCGUGCGGGAUGACGGCCUUCGGGUUGUAAACCGCUUUCGCCUGUGACGAAGCGUGAGUGACGGUAAUGGGUAAAGAAGCACCGGCUAACUACGUG